rnacentral:rRNA from 1 species
AUUGAACGCUGGCGGCAGGCCUAACACAUGCAAGUCGAACGGUAACAGGAAUCAGCUUGCCGAUUCGCUGACGAGUGGCGGACGGGUGAGUAAUGUCUGGGAAACUGCCUGAUGGAGGGGGAUAACUACUGGAAACGGUAGCUAAUACCGCAUAACGUCGCAAGACCAAAGAGGGGGACCUUCGGGCCUCUUGCCAUCAGAUGUGCCCAGAUGGGAUUAGCUAGUAGGUGGGGUAACGGCUCACCUAGGCGACGAUCCCUAGCUGGUCUGAGAGGAUGACCAGCCACACUGGAACUGAGACACGGUCCAGACUCCUACGGGAGGCAGCAGUGGGGAAUAUUGCACAAUGGGCGCAAGCCUGAUGCAGCCAUGCCGCGUGUAUGAAGAAGGCCUUCGGGUUGUAAAGUACUUUCAGCGGGGAGGAAGGGAGUAAAGUUAAUACCUUUGCUCAUUGACGUUACCCGCAGAAGAAGCACCGGCUAACUCCGUGCCAGCCGCCGCGGUAA